rnacentral:rRNA from 1 species
UACGUAGGGGGCUAGCGUUGCUCGGAAUCACUGGGCGUAAAGCGCACGUAGGCGGCUUUUUAAGUCAGGGGUGAAAUCCUGGAGCUCAACUCCAGAACUGCCUUUGAUACUGAGAAGCUUGAGUCCGGGAGAGGUGAGUGGAACUGCGAGUGUAGAGGUGAAAUUCGUAGAUAUUCGCAAGAACACCAGUGGCGAAGGCGGCUCGCUGGCCCGGUACUGACGCUGAGGUGCGAAAGCGUGGGGAGCAAACGGG